UGAAGCUUUAACCACCACAGCAGUGAAUCCCACAACUAUGCCUGUAUUCUCAGUACCUAUAGCAACAGAAAAUGCUGCUCCAACAGAGACACCAUCUUCAACAAUAACAAUUGAAACUUACACAACCACAGCUGUGACCCCUACAACCACACUCAUAUUCUCACCAACUACAACAGCACCUUUAACAGCAACAAAUGCUGCUCCAACAACAAUAGCACAGUCUUCAACAACUGAAGCUUCAACAACCACAGACUGGAACCCCACAACCAUGCCUGAAUUCUCUGCACCUCCAGCAACAGACAAUGUUGCUCUAACAACAACUCCACUGUCUUCGACAACUGAAGCUUCUACUACCACAACUGUGAACCCCACAACCACGCUUAUAUUUUCAGAAACUACAACAACAGCAAAAGCUGCCCCAACAACACCAUUGUCAACAAUAAAUGAAGUUUCAACCACCACAGCAGUGAACCCGACAACCACAUCUGUAUUCUCAGUACCUAUGGCAACAGAAAAUGUUUCUCCAACAGACACACCAUCUUCAACAAUAGCAGCUGAAGUUUAUACAACCACAGCUGUAAACCACACAACCACACUCAUAUCCUCACCAACCACAAUUGCACCUUCAACAACAACCAAUGCUGCUCCAACUGCAACAGCACAAUCUUCAACAACUGAUGCUUCAACAACCGCAGCUGUGCAUCCCACAACCGCUCCUGUAUUCUCAAUACCUACAGCAACAGAAAAUGCUUCUCCAACAACAACUCCACUGUCUUCGACAACUGAAGCUUCUGCUACCACAGCUGUGAGCCCCACAACCACUUUUAUAUUUUCAGAAACUACAACAACAGCAAAAGCUGCCACAACAACACCAUUGUCAACAACAAAUGAAGCUACAACCACCACAGCAGUGAACCCCACAACCACACUCAUAUCCUCACCGACUACAACUGCACCCUCAACAGCAACAAAUGCUGCCUCAACUGCAGCAGCACAAUUUUCAACAACUGAAGCUCCAACAACCGCAGCCAGGAAUCCCACCACCAUGCUUGUAUUCUCUGUACCUCCAGCAACAGAAAAUGCAGCUCCAACAACAACUCCACUGUCUUUGAUGACUGAAGCUUCUACUACAACAGCUGUGAACCCCACAACCACUCUUAUAUCCUCAGCAACUGCACUUACAACAAAUGCUGCUACAGCACAAUCUUCGACCACUGAAGUUUAUGCAACCACAGCUGUGAGCCCUACAACCACUCUUAUUUCUUCAGAAUCUACAACAACAGCAAAAGCUGCUCCAACAACACCGUUUUCAACAACAAAUGAAGCUUCAAGCACCACAGCAGUGAAUCCCACAACCACGCCUGUUUUCUCAGCACCUACAGCAACUGAAAAUGGUGCUCCACCAACAACUCCAUUGUCUUCAACAACUAUAGCUUCUACUACCACAGCUGUGAACCCCACAACCACUCUUAUGUCUUCAGAAUCUACAACAACACCUUCAACAGCAACAAAUGCUGCUCCAACUGCUGACACUUCAACAACUGAAGCUUCAACAACUGCAGCCAGGAACCCCACAACUAUGCCUGUAUUCUCAAUACCUACAUCAACAGAAAAUGCUGCUCCAACAACAACUCCACUGUCUUUGACAGCUGAAGCUUCUACUACCACAGCUGUGAACCCCACAACCACUCUUAUAUCAUCAGCAAUUGCACCUACAACAACAACAACAAAUGCUGCUACACCACAAUCUUUGACCACUGAAGGUUAUACAACCACAGCUGUGAACCCCACAACCACUCUUAUUUCUUCAGAAUCUACAACAAUAGCUGCUCCAACAGCACCAUUGUCAACAACAAAUAAAGCUACAACCACCCCAGCAGUGAACCCCACAACAACGCCUGUAUUCUCAGUACCUACAGCAACAGAAAAUGCUGCUCCAACAGAGACGCCAUCGUCAACAAUUAAAAGUGAAGCUUAUACAACCACAGCUGUGACCCCAACAACCACACUCAUAUCUUCACCAACUGCAACUGCACAAUCUUCAACAACUGAAGCUUCAACAACCGCAGCCAGAAACCCCACAACCAUGCCUGUAUUCUCUCUACAUCCAGCAACAGAAAAUGUUGCUCCAGCAACAACUCCACAGUCUUCGACAACUGAAGCUUCUACUACCAAAGCUGUGAACCCCACAAGCACUCUUAUAUCCUCAGCAACUGCACCUACAACAACAACAAAAGCUGCUACAGCACAAUCUUUGACCACUGAAGAUUAUAAAACCACAGCUGUGAGCCCCACAACCACAGAAAAUGCUGCUUCAACAAAGACACCAUCUUCAGCAAUAACAACUGAAGCUUAUACAACCACAGCUGGGAACCCCACCACCAUGCCUGUAUUCUCUGCACCUCCAGCAACAGAAAAUGCUGCUCCAACAAUUCCAUUGUCUUUGACAACUAAAGCUUCUGCUACCCAAGCUGUGAACCCCACAUCCACUCAGAUAUCAUCAGAAACUACAAUAACAGCAAAAGCUGCUCCAACAACACCAUUGUCAACAACAAAUGAACCUUUAACAACCAAAGCAAUAAACCCCACAACCAUGCCUGUGUUCCCAGCACCUACAACUGCACCUCCAGCAACAGAAAAUGUGGCUCUAGCAACAACAGCACAGUCUUCAACAAAUGAAGCUUCUACAACCACAGUUGUGAAUUCUACAACCAUGCCUGUAUUUCCAGAACCUCCAACAAAUGCUGC
rnacentral:lncRNA from 1 species